rnacentral:rRNA from 1 species
AACCUGGUUGAUCCUGCCAGUAGUCAUAUGCUUGUUUCAAGGACUAAGCCAUGCAAGUCUCAGAGUAAAUGGAUCACAGUAGGUCUGCAGACAGCUCAUUAAAUCAGCUACAAUCUACGCGGAGAAACUGCCCUCGGGCAGACUAUUGGAUAACUUUGGUAACCCCAAAGCUAAUACAUGUCAGCAAAACCCGCACAGGUUCAACCUCGGAGCUUCGGUUCUGGGGCUGUGUUGGGUGCAAUUGACCGAAACAAAAACCAACGCUAGCAAUAGCAGCGGUGAUUGGAUGAUUCAGGUCAAUCGAGUAGUAGCGCAUACUUCGGUGGCGCUUGUCCGCAUGAGCAUCUGCCCUAUCAGCUUUUGACGGUAGUGUAGUGGACUACCGUGGCGGUAACGGGUAACGGGGAAUUAGGGUUCGAUUCCGGAGAGGGAGCCUGAGAAACGGCUACCACAACUAAGGUUGGCAGCAGGCGCGCAAAUUGCCCAAUAGCAACACAUCGCUGAGGCAGCGAAGAGAAAUAGCAACUUCAUGCGGCCCUGCCGUGUGAAGAUUGCCAUGGACGAUAUCUAAACCUGUCGGUGAGUAUCAAUUGGUGGACAAGUCUGGUGCCAGCACCCGCGGUAAUUCCAGCACCAAUAGC